UACAGAGGCCUCGAGCGUUAGGCGGAAUCACUGGGCUUAAAGCGCGUGUAGGCGGAUCGUUAAGUACCUUGUGAAAUCCCACGGCUCAACCGUGGAACUGCUGGGUAUACUGGCGGUCUUGGGCCAUCUAGGGGUCGCCGGAACAAGCGGUGGAGCGGUGAAAUGCGUAGAUAUCUGGAGGAACACCGGUGGCGAAGGCGGCAUCCUGGACCGACAUUGACGCUGAGGCGCGAAAGCCAGGGGAGCAAACGGG
rnacentral:rRNA from 1 species